rnacentral:tRNA from 1 species
GCGGAUGUGGCGGAAUUGGCAGACGCGUACGCUUGAGGGGCGUAUGGCUUCGGUCGUGUGGGUUCGAGUCCCAUCGUCCGCA